UUUCAAUGAUGUCCGCCAAGUCAGUUAGAAGACGGAGACGUAUUUUUUAACAGCGUGUUGUGUCGCUCAUACUGACUCUAGCCAGGUCUGCUGGUGUAAUUACUGGUGCUAUUAUUGGCAGUAUAUCUCUGGUUGUGAUAGUGGUCGUCAUAAUAAUAGUAUGUUGUCGUGCUGCAUCCAGGGGAAGAAUGGGUACUGUGAUCACAACAACUACAACACCCACAGUCAGUUACAUUAAUACUGAAGCUCCACAAUCAACAGUUACCACGUAUCCAGACACAACUUCAAAUCUGGAAUCAAGGUACGCUCCACCUUCUUACGAUUCUGCUGUUUCAGCUUAUCCCCCUCAACCGAUGCCUAACUCUACGUACCCACCACAGCCUGUAUAUCCACCAGCGGAAACAAAGUAAACGUUAUUGAGCCGUCCAAUCAUAAAAAACGACCUUACAAUCAGCUAUGAAAAAACUAUAAAACGGAUGAGGAAUUUGAACGAGAAUGUGUAUAAUUCCUCAAACAUACUUUAUGCAAGAGCUAAAUCUGCCUAUAGCAGGUCUUUCUUUAGGCCUGAAAUGUUAUCUAAAUUAUUAAUUAGACAUUAAUUAACUUAGCCAGACCAUAAUCAACUCCCGAUGCCAUCGGAUAUCUCCGAUAUUCAGUCUUAGCUUCGAACAACCAGUACGGUGGUUGCAAUUUGUGCACACGUCUUGUCAAACCUUCAAAGGAUAAUAACGUCGCUGGCAAUAGAGUAAUUUGAAUAAAAUUUUCAAAUUAUUUAUUUUACAUUAUCUAUUUUUGAACUAUUAUAGCAAGAAUGGCUAGCUCUUUAUCUAAAUCAUACACAAUGUAUCUUUAACAUGAAAAUGACAAAUAGGCCAUUCCCGUGCUGUAGAAUUACAUAUCUUUAGUUGUAGCAGCAAACGGCCCAAAAGUAGUGAACAUAAUUAUGAUGGCACAUUCGGUAAAGGAUAGUGAAGCACAUUUUUAUUCUAGCAGAUAUUACUAUAAUGCUGGACAAUAAUCCCUAUGUGGCAUUUAGUCUGACUAAAAUACAGAUUUAUAUUUCGUUCUGUUUUUCUACUUUCGAUGGUCUACACUACAUGAAGAUCUAAUCAGUUGUACGAGGGGUUUUUGACCAUAUGAGUCAGACAUUGGAUUAAUCAAUCAGCGUUGACGUUUCUAGUGGUUUACCCACAGUUCCGUGCAUGGCAUGUCAAAAAGUCGUCGUAACAAAUGGUUUCAUUGGCUAAUCCCUCACGCCAUCCAGAACGCCUGUUAUAUAACAACUCUUCCAGAUCCUAGUGUAGUACAGACAGAUGAAACGAAAUUUUGAACUAUAAAAAACCGAACCGAAACAAGAUCUAUAUUUUCAUCAGAUUAAGUGACAUUGAGCGACUGAGCACAAUAUAAAAAACACAACAAAAGUUAUACGGAUAACGAUCACUGGUUUGUACUCAUAUAUUACGACUUUUCGGCAAGUUUCUCUUAUAGUUAUCAAGAACAAACGAUUUUUGUUUGUUUACCAUAUAAAUUGUGUUGUUUUGUUUUAUCAUUGGGGUCAACAAGAUACAGAUUCUAAAAUUGUCUACACUGAAAUAUUAUUUAUUUUCCAUUAAUUCUUCCAUCUCUUUAUAUAGCGAAAUAAUUUAACAUAUCCUCAUUCGUAAAGCUGAGUUUAAGGAAUGCAAUAGGCUGAUUUUUAUAUAAUCGGUAUUGUUUGUGAUAUUUGAAUGUAUAUUCAUUGUUUUGACUGGAAACUCACAAAAGAAUGAAACUGAAAUGAAACGGUGUUUAACGUCCUUACUAUUCUGCUUCUGCUGGGCCAGUGAAGGCGGGUAUACACCAUACAUUGUGCUAUGCGGGAAAUUUUGUCCGGGCAGCGGCUUUAUGGCCUACAUAUCGAAUUCAAACUGCUAUGGGAUAUUUUACAUGCACGCCAGUGUAUACACGGGUCCUCGGUUUUUCCGACUUGACAGCUGUUCUUGUCCGGCCCCGUCCUGCACCACUGACAAGGGGAAACCACGCCGGAAAAUACCGAUAAACUUUCUCGGCCAAUACAGGGAUCGAACACGCGACCUCCAGGGUAGCAAGUCAGCGUUUUACCCACUUAGCCACCGUGGCUCCGAGUAGAUGUUUAAAAGAAAGCGUUAGGGCUUCCAUUAAUUCUAUUGGAUUUAUGAAGAAAAAUAAAAAUAUGUUUUUAUUAUUAUUUGCUAUAUCUAAACAUUAUAUAUUAAAGAAUUAAUUUUGUGUAUGAUCAUUAACCACAAUACGUUGAAUAUUGACACAGGCGCUGGUCCAGGGGGUGGGGGGCACCCGGCGCCGAACAAUUUUUUGCCCCAUAUAUUCUCGCGGGAAAGGAGAACAAAAAUAAUUAAAAAUGGUAGCGAUCCCCGUCGUAAUUUACUCCGAAACGAGCCGGUUGGUGACUUGGUUGAUUGUCCGUCAGUCCGCCCUUCCGAGGGCCGGGCUUCGCACUCCCAAGUGGGGGCAGCACGCCCCCGCCCCCUUUUCUGAAAAUCCUGGAUCCGCCCCUGUGACACAUUGUAUAUAUUCCAUGAAAAUGCACUGUUUUCACAACCGUAUUUAUUAACCAUAAUACGUUGUAUAUAUUAACAUAUUGUAUAUAUUCCAUGAAAAUGCACUGUUUUCACAACCGUAUUUAUUAACCAUAAUACGUUGUAUAUAUUAACAUAUUGUAUAUAUUCCAUGAAAAUGAAUUGUUUUCACAUGAAUAAAAACGUUUUUCAAUUUGUUAUCUCUGUAACGGAUUUAAAAUUUGUUGGCAUAAAAGCGGUGGACACACUAGUCGAAUGAUUAGGCCGAAUCAUUCGGUCGAAUCAAUCGGCGUCGACAUUCGCCUAGUGUGCCCACUUUCAUUCGGUCGAAUGAUUCACCUAGUGCGUCCGCUUCGCCGAAGCAUUCGCCCGAAUGUAAAAUGCAUUAGCCAAUCACCACUCAUCAUCCACUCAUAUCGAGAAAUCACGUGAUUGUUUGAAGACAUGGUCGCCGCCAUGUUUAAUCAUGUGAUGCAAUCUACUGGUGAAUCGGCCGAAGCCUUCGCCCAGGGCGUCCGAUUGAUUCAACCAUCCUGCUUUCUCGCUUUACUGAUCAUUUUCUUAGCGAGAUAAGCCCAUGAGAUAAGGCAACCCAACCUUUGUCAAGUAAGAUUUAGAUAAAGAGCAGGUCAUUCUUGCUAUAAUACAAGUAGUUCAAAAAUAGAUAAUGAAAGUUACUUUAUUCUGAACGACGUGUUGAGCGUUUGUAGUUUGGACAAGAUGUAGCAACGGUACUUAAUGAAGUUGCAUAAGUUUUGGACCAUUUAUUACAUAGACAAAUAUUUUAGUAUUUGAUAAAAUAAAGGACAUCAUUCUGGAAAGAGACUGCCUCGUGAACGACACCUUCACAACUUUGCAACCAAU